UGGCGUAGUGGUUAAGCGCUUGACUGCUAACCAAGAGGUUGGUGGUUUGAACCCACC
rnacentral:tRNA from 1 species